rnacentral:rRNA from 1 species
CAUGCAAGUCGAACGGACUUACAUUGAAGCCUAGCGAUAUGUAAGUUAGUGGCGGACGGGUGAGUAACGCGUGGGUAACCUGCCUUGUACUGGGGGACAACAGUUGGAAACGACUGCUAAUACCGCAUAAGCGCACAGCUUCGCAUGAAGCAGUGUGAAAAACUCCGGUGGUACAAGAUGGACCCGCGUCUGAUUAGCUGGUUGGUGAGGUAACGGCCCACCAAGGCGACGAUCAGUAGCCGGCCUGAGAGGGUGAACGGCCACAUUGGGACUGAGACACGGCCCAAACUCCUACGGGAGGCAGCAGUGGGGAAUAUUGCACAAUGGGGGAAACCCUGAUGCAGCAACGCCGCGUGAGUGAAGAAGUAUUUCGGUAUGUAAAGCUCUAUCAGCAGGAAAGAAAAUGACGGUACCUGACUAAGAAGCCCCGGCUAACUACGUGCCAGCAGCCGCGGUAAUACGUAGGGGGCAAGCGUUAUCCGGAUUUACUGGGUGUAAAGGGAGCGUAGACGGUUUUGCAAGUCUGAAGUGAAAGCCCGGGGCUUAACCCCGGGACUGCUUUGGAAACUGUAGAACUAGAGUGCAGGAGAGGUAAGUGGAAUUCCUAGUGUAGCGGUGAAAUGCGUAGAUAUUAGGAGGAACACCAGUGGCGAAGGCGGCUUACUGGACUGUAACUG